CUAUUGCUAAAAAUAGGAACCCACACAUUGGUUCCAUGAUACAGAGAAGCAAAGAUGAAAUUGAGUUGGAAACUUUUUAUUUGCCGCCUGGCUUUCAUAAUCCUGAAAGUUUCCUUUCGUCCACUCAUAUACUUCUUGAAGUCUUCCCAUGUCUUGUACAGUUGUUCUGCAAGUACAGUCUGGGACCAAAGUAAACAUAGGCUACGUAUGAUACUGAAGAGGACUUUAACCCACCAAGACCAUGAACC